UACGUAGGGGGCUAGCGUUGUCCGGAAUCAUUGGGCGUAAAGCGCGCGUAGGCGGCCCGGUAAGUCCGCUGUGAAAGUCAAAGGCUCAACCUUUGAAUGUCAGCGGAUACUGCCGGGCUAGAGUCCGGAAGAGGCGAGUGGAACUCCUGGUGUAGCGGUGGAAUGCGCAGAUACCAGGAAGAACACCCGUGGCUAAGGCGGCUCUCUAGUACGGUACUGACGCUGAGACGCGAAAGCGUGGGGAGCGAACAGG
rnacentral:rRNA from 1 species